rnacentral:rRNA from 1 species
GAUGAACGCUGGCGGUGUGCUUAACACAUGCAAGUCGAACGGAAAGGCCCUGCUUUUGUGCGGUGCCCGAGUGGCGAACGGGUGCGUAACACGUGUGUAUCCUGAUCUUGUCUUUGGGAUAACUUCAGGAAACUGGGGCUAAUACCGGAUAGGAUCUGCCGUAGCAUGGUGGGCGUUGGAACGUUUCGGCGGUAGGGGAUGGACUAGCGGGUUAUGGGCUUGUUGGUGGGGUAGUGGAAUACCCAGCCAUUGACGGGUAGCCGGCAUGUGAGGGUGGACGGCCACAUUGGGACUGAGAUACGGCGCAGUCUCGUACGGUGGACAGCGGUGGCGAGUAUUACACAGUGGGCGGGAGCCUGAUGCAGCGACGCCGCGUGCGGAAAGACGGCCUGCGGGUUAAAAACAGCUUUCGCCUGUGACGAAGCGUGAGUGACGGUAAUGGGUGAAGAAGCACCGGCUAACUACGUG